rnacentral:rRNA from 1 species
GGGCAAGUCGGGUGCCAGCAGCCGCGGUAAUUCCAGCUCCAAUAGCGUAUAUUAAAGUUGUUGCAGUUAAAAAGCUCGUAGUUGAAUUUCGGGGUUCUACCGUUGGUCGGGCAAUAGUCUGUACUGGCGUGUGGAAUUUCUACCUUCUGGGGAACCAUCAUGUUAUUUAUUUAGCGUGGUGGGAAACCAGGACCUUUACCUUGAAAAAAUUAGAGUGUAUAAAGCAGG